CAGUAGGGAAUCUUCCACAAUGGGCGAAAGCCUGAUGGAGCAACGCCGCGUGUGUGAUGAAGGGUUUCGGCUCGUAAAACACUGUUGUAAGAGAAGAAUGACAUUGAGAGUAACUGUUCAAUGUGUGACGGUAUCUUACCAGAAAGGAACGGCUAAACACGUGCCAG
rnacentral:rRNA from 1 species